CAGGGUAUGGCUGAGUUAGUAAAGCACCUCACUUACACCGAGAAGACAUCCAUGCAAAUUGGGUUACCCUGA
rnacentral:tRNA from 1 species